rnacentral:rRNA from 1 species
AAACCAGCACCUCAAGUGGUCAGGAUGAUUAUUGGGCCUAAAGCAUCCGUAGCCGGCUCUGUAAGUUUUCGGUUAAAUCUGUACGCUUAACGUACAGGCUGCUGGGAAUACUGCAGGGCUAGGGAGUGGGAGAGGUAGACGGUACUCGGGAGGAAGUGGUAAAAUGCUUUGAUCUCUCGAUGACCACCUGUGGCGAAGGCGGUCUACCAGAACACGUCCGACGGUGAGGGAUGAAAGCUGGGGGAGCAAACCGGAUUAGAAACCCGAGUAGUCC